UGGGGAAUAUUGGACAAUGGGCGCAAGCCUGAUCCAGCCAUACCGCGUGAGUGAAGAAGGCCCUCGGGUUGUAAAGCUCUUUUGUUGGGAAAGAAAUCCUGUCGGUUAAUACCUGGCAGGGAUGACGGUACCCAAAGAAUAAGCACCGGCUAACUUCGUGCCAGCAGCCGCGGUAAUACGAAGGGUGCAAGCGUUACUCGGAAUUACUGGGCGUAAAGCGUGCGUAGGUGGUUGUUUAAGUCUGUCGUGAAAGCCCUGGGCUCAACCUGGGAAUUGCGAUGGAUACUGGGCAACUAGAGUGUGGUAGAGGGUGGCGGAAUUCCCGGUGUAGCAGUGAAAUGCGUAGAGAUCGGGAGGAACAUCCGUGGCGAAGGCGGCCACCUGGGCCAACACUGACACUGAGGCACGAAAGCGUGGGGAGCAAACAGGAUUAGAUACCCUGGUA
rnacentral:rRNA from 1 species